rnacentral:rRNA from 1 species
AGCGAACGCUGGCGGCAGGCUUAACACAUGCAAGUCGAGCGCCCCGCAAGGGGAGCGGCAGACGGGUGAGUAACACGUGGGAACGUGCCCUUCGGUUCGGAAUAGCCCGGGGAAACUCGGAGUAAUACCGGAUACGUCCGCAAGGAGAAAGAUUUAUCGCCGAAAGGAGCGGCCCGCGUCUGAUUAGCUUGGUGGUGAGGUAACGGCUCACCAAGGCUACGAUCAGUAGCUGGUCUGAGAGGAUGAUCAGCCACACUGGGACUGAGACACGGCCCGGAAUCCUACGGGAGGCUGCAGUGGGGAAUAGUGGACAAGGGGCGCAAGCCUGAUCCAGCCAUGCCGCGUGAGUGAUGAAGGCCCUAGGGUUGUAAAGCUCUUUCGGCGGGGAAGAUAAUGACGGUACCCGCAGAAGAAGCCCCGGCCAACUUCGUGCCAGCCGCCGCGGUAAGAC